rnacentral:rRNA from 1 species
GGGCUUGACAUCCCACGAACCUGCCUGAAAGGGCGGGGUGCCCGCAAGGGAGCGUGGAGACAGGUGGUGCAUGGCUGUCGUCAGCUCGUGUCGUGAGAUGUUGGGUUAAGUCCCGCAACGAGCGCAACCCUCACCCCUAGUUGCCACCGGGUAACGCCGAGCACUCGAGGGGAACUGCCAGCGUCAAGCUGGAGGAAGGCGGGGAUGACGUCAAGUCAUCAUGCCCCUUACGCCCUGGGCUACACACGUGCUACAAUGGUUAGUACAACGGGAUGCGAGACCGCGAGGUGGAGCAAAUCCCAAAAAGCUGGCCUAAGUUCAGACUGCAGUCUGCAACUCGACUGCAUGAAGGAGGAAUCGCUAGUAAUCGCGCAUCAGCACGGCGCGGUGAAUACGUUCCCGGGCCUUGUACACACCGCCCGUCACACCACGAAAGCUGGCUGUACUCGAAGUCGCUGAG